UACGGAGGGUGCAAGCAUUAAUCGGAUUUAUUGGGCGUAAAGGGCGCGUAGGCGGGUUUGUAAGUCAGAUGUGAAAUUCCGAAGCUCAACUUCGGAGCUGCAUUUGAAACUACAAGUCUAGAGGAGUGGCGGAGAAAAUGGAAUUCCACGUGUAGCGGUGAAAUGCGUAGAUAUGUGGAAGAACACCUGUGGCGAAAGCGGUUUUCUAGCUUAUUCCUGACGCUGAGGCGCGAGAGCAAGGGGAGCAAACAGG
rnacentral:rRNA from 1 species